UAAAAUCCUCUUAGCAUAAUGCCAAUGC
rnacentral:sRNA from 1 species